rnacentral:rRNA from 1 species
GACGAACGCUGGCGGCGUGCUUAACACAUGCAAGUCGAACGCUGAACCCGCUUCGGUGGGGGAUGAGUGGCGAACGGGUGCGUAACACGUGGGCAACCUGCCCCCGGCUCUGGGAUAACUCCAAGAAAUUGGGGCUAAUACCGGAUGUGACCGCUGGCCGCAUGGGCUGGUGGUGGAAAGGGUUUCCGGCUGGGGAUGGGCCCGCGGCCUAUCAGCUUGUUGGUGGGGUAGUGGCCUACCAAGGCGACGACGGGUAGCCGGCCUGAGAGGGUGACCGGCCACAAUGGGACUGAGGCACGGACCAGACGCCAACGGGAGGCAGCGGUGGGAAAUAUUGCGCAAUGGGCGGAAGCCUGACGCAGCGACGCCGCGUGGGGGAUGACGGCCUUCGGGUUGUAAACCUCUUUCAGCAGGGACGAAGCGCAAGUGACGGUACCUGCAGAAGAAGCACCGGCCAACUACGUG